rnacentral:rRNA from 1 species
UAGUCCACGCCCUAAACGAUGUUAACUCGAUGUUUGGCCCUUGCGGUUGAGCAUCCAAGCGAAAGCGUUAAGUUAACCACCUGGGGAGUACGUCGGCAACGAUGAAACUCAAAGGAAUUGACGGGGGUCCGCAUAAGCGGUGGAGCAUGUGGUUUAAUUCGAUGAUACGCGAGGAACCUUACCAGGGCUUAAAUGUAGUAUGACAGGACUAGAGAUAGUUUUUUCUUCGGACAUAUUACAAGGUGCUGCAUGGUUGUCGUCAGCUCGUGCCGUGAGGUGUCAGGUUAAGUCCUAUAACGAGCGCAACCCUUGUCGUUAGUUGCCAGCAUGUAAAGAUGGGGACUCUAACGAGACUGCCGGUGCAAACCGUGAGGAAGGUGGGGAUGACGUCAAAUCAUCACGGCCCUUACGUCCUGGGCCACACACGUGCUACAAUGGUAUGGACAAUGAGCAGCCACUAUGCGAAUAGGAGCGAAUCUAUAAACCAUAUCACAGUUCGGAUCGG